UGCUUUAACCUCAGCAUAAGAGGACAUGGGGAAUGUGUAGAAUAUGUAAAGAGUUUCAACAUACCCCUCCUGGUGUUAGGAGGAGGUGGCUACACAGUUCGCAAUGUGGCCCGGUGCUGGACUUAUGAAACAUCAUUACUUGUAGAUGAAGCAAUUAGUGAGGAGCUUCCAUAUAGUGGUAAGUUGAGGACCUACAUGUUAAAACAUCACUGAUGUCACUUGUAGCAUAUUUAGUUUCCCCAAGUUAUUAGUAUCAAGAUAACUUAGGGGGAUAGUUCAAAAGCAAUGACAAGGCUUCAUGGAGUAGCCGUUGCCACCAGUAGAACCUUGUUGCAUGUGCUGGCCAGGGCAGGUGUGGUGUGUGGAGAAAAAUGUCAGCUCUCACUAUAUCGGUGUCCAGGCCCUGGUUGGGCCCAUUGUCAUCA